GGCUGGUUCCGAACAUAGUGAGUUCUCUCAGCUGAUUGUUUACGGUCAAUUGCAAAUGGAAAUGCUUGUUCUAUUUCUUUCCCUCUUCUUACUACUGCACUUGACUAGCCUAAA
ensembl:misc_RNA Y_RNA Y RNA